UGGCGGCGUGCUUACACAUGCAGUCGAACGAUGAACACCGGAGCUUGCUCUGGUGGGAUUAGCCGUGAACGGGUGAGUAACACGUGAGCAAUCUGCCCCCGACUUUGGGAUAACCCCGAGAAAUCGGAGCUAAUACCGGAUAUGACACCUCCUGGCAUCAGGUGGGUGUGGAAAGAAUUUCGGUUGGGGAUGAGCUCGCGGCCUAUCAGCUUAUUGGUGAGGUAAUGGCUCACCAAGGCGACGACGGGUAGCCGGCCUGAGAGGGUGACCGGCCACACUGGGACUGAGACACGGCCCAGACUCCUACGGGAGGCAGCAGUGGGGAAUAUUGCACAAUGGGCGCAAGCCUGAUGCAGCAACGCCGCGUGGGGGACGACGGCCUUCGGGUUGUAAACCUCUUUUGGCAGGGAAGAAGCGAAAGUGACGGUACCUGCAGAAAAAGCACCGGCUAACUACGUGCCAGCAGCCGCGGUAAUACGUAGGGUGCAAGCGUUGUCCGGAAUUAUUGGGCGUAAAGAGCUCGUAGGCGGUGUGUCACGUCUGCUGUGAAAAUCCAAGGCUCAACCUUGGACUUGCAGUGGGUACGGGCACACUCGAGUGCGGUAGGGGAGAUUGGAAUUCCUGGUGUAGCGGUGGAAUGCGCAGAUAUCAGGAGGAACACCGAUGGCGAAGGCAGAUCUCUGGGCCGUAACUGACGCUGAGGAGCGAAAGCGUGGGGAGCGAACAGGAUUAGAUACCCUGGUAGUCCACGCCGUACACGGUGGGAACUAGAUGUGGGGUCCGUUUCACGGAUUCCGUGUCGCAGCUAACGCAUUAAGUUCCCCGCCUGGGGAGUACGGCCGGCAAGGCUAAACUCAAAGGAAUUGACGGGGGCCCGCACAAGCGGCGGAACAUGCGGAUUAAUUCGAUGCAACGCGAAGAAACUUUACCAAGGCUUGGACUUUAAAGAAAAAGUGCAGAGAUGCCCUCCCCGCAGGUCUCCUAUCCGGUGGGGGAUGGUUUGUCUCCGCUCGUGCCGGGAAAGGUUGGGUUAAUCCCGCACCAGCGCAACCUUCCUCUUUGUUGCAAGCCGUAUGGUGGGGACUCCGGGGAAAUGGCGGGGCCAACUCGAAGAAGGGGGGAAAACUUAAAUCUUCUGCCCCUUAUGUCUGGGUUCCCCGGGCUCAAGGGCCGGCAAAGGGGUGCAAU
rnacentral:rRNA from 1 species